AAGCAGAAUAUAAUACAGCUACCUUCAGCAGAGUGUUAGUGUGCAUGUUGGAGAGUUGGAGAGUCUUCAAGUGAAGGAGUUCAAGGAGUUAAUUCUCUCACAGUCAGAGAGAAUCAGAGCUGGUGCUGGAAAGAGCACUGAGAAAUCACUGGGAGAAUUUUGACUCCUAAAGCAGCUGAAGAAACAGUCUGGGAUUGAACCCCCAGAACUGGGAAGGAAGAGCAGGUCCUGAGGCUGAGCAUGGGAGAAGCCAGGCUUGCUGCAGAAGCUAAAAGGAAGCCAUUCUCACAACAUGCAGAAACAUGUUGAGGGAGCCCAGACUAAGGGACUCCCAAACUAAGGGAGCCCAGCCCGGUUUCUGCAGGUCAUGUGCUGCAAUGGGAGCUGCACGGUUUCCAGCAGCAAGCCCGCGUAAUUCCCCCCCCCCCCGCCAAAUUAGGUUAGCAGAGCGCACGCUCCACUAACCCCAUUUACCUGAUCGUGUGUUGCCGUGGCGCAGCUCUGCACCAUGGUGGCACAUGAGGAGACCCCCCGACAGGAAGGCAACAACAAGCCUCCCGGCAUGGGGGAGGCUCCCUAGUCGCGUGGGGCAUUCUGGGAUUUACGGAAGCUGGGAGGCCUCUGAUCCCUGCCGCCCCUACCGGCUCUGUGACUGAGCCAGUAAUCAUGUGGGCAGCCAAUCCGGCCACCUAGGGCUAGCCGCCUGAUCGUCUGUGGGGAGAGUGGGUCAGGCCCGCUCACCUGCAAAACCCCUUACAGCUCUCCAUAGAGGCUCAUGUGGAAAGCCUCUAUGGGUAAUUGCAGGAGGACUCUUGCCAGUUAGCAAUCCACACAUGUAUCUUUCCCCUUAUCCCACGACUGCUACGUUUUUUCAAGAGUCUUUGUUGAGAAACUUUGUCGAAAGCUUUUUGGAAGACCUAGUAUAUUAUGUCAACUGGAUCACCUUUAUCCCCACAUCUACUGACACUCUCAAAGAACUCCAAAAGGUGAGGCAGAUUUACCUUUGCAGAAGCCAUGCUGCAAAGAUGGCAAUUUUUUUUAAAAGGUGCAGAAGAAGAUUUGAGUGAUUUAAAAAAAAAAAAAAAUAGUGGGGGGGGGGGGUUUGCUGUGCUUGACUGCCAGCUAAAGCCAGCUUAUCAGUUUUCUGUUUCAUAAUAGUAAAUUCAUACAUAUUUUUAAUUUUUAAAAUACCUCAAACUGUAGGGCCAUCUAAGCUCUCAGUGCAACUUGGAAAAUGUUCGUGUAUAUGACGUGCAGUUGAUAUACUGCACGUCAAUCAACACAAUCUACAUGAAAUGCUAAACAAAAACGUGUGUCAUUUAAUUUUGCUGGGAAGGAAACCAAGCUGUUUAAUACUGUUACUGCCCUUACUGGAUGGAUAAUCCUGUUUAUGCUAAAAACACUCCAUCCUAAAUACCUGCCACACACACAGCUGACAUAAAACUGAUAAGACCUUUCAAGAUGUCACUACAAAGAGCAGCUGGAAUUUCUGGGAAAAAAUAAAAGGGCUCCAGAUACUUCUAAGUGAACUACUGAAUAAAUAAUAAAGCACACUUUAUAAGAAGUUUGUGAGGAUGGAUUUAAGGAUCCGCCUCAAUCAGGUCUUAAUCUUACAAUGUGCCACUAGAUGGCACCUUAUAUUUGGCAACUGUAUUCCUUUGGAGGGUUGUAAUGUGUUCUCGAGCUUAUUAUAGCAGCUAGUUACCUCUGACUGAUUAAAAUUGAUGUAGCUUCAUACUUUCUUCCGUCAUGUAUUUCUGCUUUCCAUUACAGUACUUAAUUGUAUUUAUAGGCCAUUAUCAUUAUGUUCUAUUGUCUUGGAUCGUUGGGGUGUAUGGGGUGUGUGUGUGUGUGUGUGUGUGUGUUUUCACUCCCAUAAAUAGCAGAAAACACAAGAGUCUGGCCUUUUCUGUUUCUUAGGUCCCUCUCUUUUCUUCUUUCCAAGCAUAACUUGUUUGUAAGUGCUAGUAGCUACCAACACAUCUUAACGUUCUGAAUCAUGUCCACUGGUUGCGACUCCAAGAAUCACACAACUUACUCUAAACACCCAAUGAGGCUUUCAACAUCUUUAGAGAGAAAAAACAGCAGCAGCAUGAACAAUAUGGCAACGCACCUUUAAGACAUGCUGUGCAAGUUUACUUACUUGGAAGUUAGUCCUGUGAGUUCAACAGGACUUUCUCUGCAACAUAUGUGUUUAGGAUUAGGCCCAAGGGCCCAAAUGAUAUGUUACAGGCAAAUGUGUGUAACAAAGUCCCAACAAUUUAAAAAAAUGAAAAGCUGUUUUUGGAGUGGCUAUUUUGUGCAGAGAUGUGUUAAAGGGAAUUUGUCUCAGCUCUUUCCCUGACACCCAUUUGUGUGCUCAGGAUCACCUAUUUCAGCUACUUUUUCAUCUCACAAGUCUCCAGACAAAUGUUUAUCCUCACCAACCAUAUCUAGAACCUUGCAGGGUAAAAAGGAAUUUUAAGAUUAUUUGAAGUGGGAAAAUGGCUAAUGAAGAAAGGGUUAAUCACCCUCUUUCCCCCUACACCACUUCUCUGUUCACAACAGCCCCUCUUCUCCCAAAGCUGCUCUUCUUUAUACAUUUCUACUUGAAAAUGUAGAAAUUCAUAAAUGGCAUCUCUAGCAACUGCAACAUAGCCAUGCAAACCUGCAGACGAAUAUGCCCCAUUGAACUCAAUGAAACGUACUUCCAAAUAAACAUGUAUGGGAUCGGACUUUAGAAAUGUUUUCAGAGCUGUUUGUGGUGUGUUUAGGAAGGCAAAGGUAAAGUGUGCCAUCAAGUUGGUGUCAACUCCUGGUGAUCACAAAGCCCUAUGGUUGUCUCUGGUAGAAUACAGGAGGGGUUUAGCACUGCCAUCUCCUGCGCAGUACGAGGUAAUGUCUUUCAGCAUCUUCCUAUAUCGCUGCUGCCUGAUAUAGGUGUUUCCCAUAGUCUGAGAAACGUGCCAGUGGGGAUUGGAACCAGCAACCUCUGGCUUGCUCAUCAAGUCAUUUCCCCGCUGCACCAUUAUGUGGCUGUGCUUAGGAAGGCCCUACUAAAAAGAAAGAAAUGGAAACUUAGCUCCUGCAUAAUGUCUAAAGAUACUCAAUGGAAUUUGGCAAUGUAAUGUAAAAGAGGAUGACUGACCAGCAGCAAGGUGGACCAGCACCACUAAGAGACCUUAAAGACUAAGUUGAAGACAGAUUAUCCUGUUGAAAAUCUAUCUAUGUGGUCGCUAAGAGUCGACACCGACUUGACAGCACUUAAUCAAUCAGACUAUCUAUCUAUCUAUCUAUCUAUCAAAUGUAAACAUCUUAAAAACAGUGGCUCACACACUGCAUAGUGAGCUGCAGAUCUAUGCAACAGGUGCACUCACUGGUUCUAAGCCCAAUUAAAUUCCACCAGUGUUACUUGCAGAGAUAGGGAGGCUCCAUGGCUACUAAGCAGUGUGUGAACUUGCUACUACUCCCAUAAUUUCCAAUAGGAGUAGUAGUACAAUCAAUACCCAAGGGGACUCCGCAUCUUCACAAGCAGCAUAAGUGGGGCUCAAAGGGGCACAGAAGAAGUGAGUGCACCUAUUACUUAGAUCGGUGGCUCAUUGCACAGUAUGUGAGCCCUCCAGUUUAAGAUGAGAGUAGGGGCUCGCUCAAUAUUUCUCCUACUCAAACUGUACACAAAUUGAAAGUUUAAGUUGUAUCCAGGAACAAAUUCAACCAGUGAAGCUUCCCUAAUCAAUUGCUAGAGAUGCCACUUAUGAAUUUCUACCAGGAAACAUAUCUAGUGGAAAUGCAUAAAGGUGUUCUCUAACACUUGCCAGUUUGGCUUCUUUUGUGUUUUGGCUUUUGGCAAGCAACAAGCAAGUCAAGUUUCCUGUCUCAGACUUUGUAGUUUUGCACUUUAGGUAGAUAGACAACUUCUGCACUGGGCUCUCAACCCACCCAUAACUGCUAACUUUGUUCCCUGGGCUAUUUCCCUUAUGCACAGCACUUCUCCCCCAAGCCUAAAUGUCUUCUUUCAAGAGUUAGCAAUGCUAAACGUGACCCUGACUAUACAUACCUGGGGCAAGCUGACUGCUGCCACCUCCAUAGCUGCUCCUUCAUUGUUCUCAGCAGCAUAUCUAAAUUUCUGCCAAGUAGUUGGACUUCUGUGCAUAUUUGCAAGUCAUGCAAACAGCAGGCAAGGGAAGGUGAUCGAAAAUGCUUUUUAUGCUGCUGCUUUCAUUGUAUUUUUACAGUUGUUGCCUGAUUAUUUUAAUUGGUUGUUUUUCCAUCUGCAGGAAAGGCAGCAUAUACCUCGCUAAUAAAUACAGAAAUAACAAUUUCUCCAAAUCAGUGAAGUCCUUUCAGCUAUUCAUUUAUUUUAAAACACUUGGGUUGUUUGGUUUUCAUGGCGUCACUAAGUGACAACAAGCAAAGGGCAGAGAGUGCAGACAACCUCACAGUGAAGUCAACAGUAUCACAGCUGCAGCCACUGAUUUUUAAUGAAGUUGGAUGGCAUCCAGAAUAUACUGAUGACUUUGGCUGGUGGGGAGGGGCAGUAAACAAUCAACAAGCGACAUGGGCAUUUAAUCAGGCCCAGCCACACAUGGCUGAUGACACUGAUAAUAAAUAUAUAAUAUAAUUUGUGUAUUGUUUCAUCUGGUUAUCUUUUAGCUACUUUCAGGCAUCUGUGUUUAGGGAAAUCACUGAUCAUGAAAGAAAUGACUGAUUGCAUGCAGUCAACAGCAGAGGAUGAAGUCAUUACAUUUUAUUUUUUAUUUUUUAUUUAACACACGUCUAUACCACCCAAAAGGUUUAUAACAAGAAAACAAAAAAUUAAAACAUUAGUUAAAAUAAAUGACCAAAAAAAGCCCUUAAAACAGUAGUUAAAACCAAAUAAAUGACACAGUAAAAGUUAAAACAUUACAACAAUUUAAAAUUUUAGAACAACAUUUUAAAAUGACAAUAAAACUGUUAAAACAAUAUUUAAUUAAAAGCCUGGGUGAAUAGGUGCAUCUUUAAAGACUUUUUUAAAGUUUUCCGAGAUGGGGAGGCUCCUAUUUCAGCAAGAAGUGUGUUCCAAGCUCUGGGGCAGCAGCAGAGAAGGCCUGUCCCCGAGUAGCCACCAAACGAGCCGGUGGCAACUGCAGACGGACCUCUCCUGAUGAUCUCCGUGGGCAGUGGGGUUCAUAACAAAGAAGACAUUCUCUUAAAUACUCAGUCAUUUAAGGCUUUAUAGAUUAUAAACAGCACCUCGAAUUUGUCCGGAAACUUAUUGGCAGCCAGUGUAGAUCUUUCAAUACAGGAGUAAUAUGGUCUCUCUGAGAUGACCCAGAGACCAACCUGGUUGCCACAUUCUAAACCAGCUGUAGUUUCCAGACUACACACAAGGGCAACCCCACAUAGAGUAUGUUACAGUAAUCCAGUCUGGAGAUUGCCAGCAUUGAUACCACUGUUCUGAAGUCUUUUAUCUCAAGAAACAGACACAGCUGGCAUAUCAGCCAAAGCUAAUAGAAGGCACUUCUGGCCACUGCCUCAACCUGGGAGACCAGGGAGAGGUUCAGAUCCAGAAGCACCCCCAGACUGCAUGCCUGUUCCUUCCGGGAAAGUGUGACCACAUCCAGAACAGGCAGAUCAAACUCAUCUCCUGAGUUUCAACUCCGCACAAUGAGUACCUCCAUCUUAUCUGGAUUCAGUCUCAGUUUGUUAUUUCUCAUCCAUUCCAUUGCAUCCUCCAGACAGGCAUUUAGGGAGGUUAUGCCCUGUCCCGAUGAUUUUGACAUGGAGAAGUAGAUUUGGGUGUCAUCAGCAUACUAAUAACACCCUGCACCAAAACUCCUGAUGAUCUUUCCUAGCGCUUUCAUGUAGAUGUUUUGAUUUUAUGGUUGAUUUUAAACUGUUAAUUUGUUUUAACUUUUAUAUGUGUUUUAGAGUCAAAAGUUUGAGCAGUAUAUAAGUUUGAUAAAUAAACAAACAAACAAACAUCAGAGACAAUACAGAGCCCUGAGGGACACCAUACAAAAGUUCAGAUUUUGAAGAACAACAGUCUCCAAGGGACACCAUCUGGAACCUACCCGAGAGGUAGGCGCAGAACCACAGCAAAGCAGUGCCUCCCACUCCCACCCACCUCAGACACUCCAGAAGGAUACCAUGGUCGAUAGUAUCGAAAGCUGCUGAGGGGUCUAAAAGAACCAACAGAGUCACACUUCCUCUGUCCAUUCCCAAUUGGAGAUCAUCCAUCAGGCCGACCAAAGCAGUCUCCACCCCAUGGCCCACCUGAAAGCCAGUUUGAAACGGGUCUAGAUAAUCAGUUAUAGGUACUGCAGGGCUGCUUUCACAACAGACACCCAGGGCACUGGGUGUUUUUUGUUUGUUUGUUUUUUGCCAGCACUUUUUAUUAAACUUGUGAAUAAGAUUAUGUGAGAAAGAACUCUUAACUGAAAUGGUAAUUCUUAGAAAAGGGUUUUGGUGAAUAAAUUUCAUCCCAUUUCUGUGAACAAAUGUAAUCUUAAAGAUGCCCUUGAUCAAGUUGCCAAGUGCUAUAUUGACUGUGGGAAAAACUUAGCAUAUAAGGCAUACUUUCCUCCAAGUGGUAUGGCCUGCAAGAAGACGUGGUUGUUGCAUGCAGGACAUACCACUUGGUUGCUAUUAUUAAGACUGGGAGAACAUUUAUAUUUGAAGCAGAUUAAUGAAGAUUGGUUUGUUGUCAACAUGCAAAUAUGGGAAAUCAGAAAAGCUAUUUAAGCAUCUUUUUUUAAUGCCCUAUGUAUAGCUAGAAGAAGCUGACUAUAUUAUCUUAUAUGCCUUAAAUUAAACACUGUUUUGUUAAUUAUCAAAUCAUUCUUUCACACAUGUACAUGUGUCAGCAAAUUUUGUGAUUCCACCUCUGAGAUUAUUAAGAGAGAAAGCAAUGUUUCAAGAAAACCAUUUUAUUAGGCUUAAUUAAGCCUCUUAUUUCAAAUAAGUAAACAACACUGAAUUCCUAUGGAGAUGCUGUUAGCAAGUGAAUGAGAAAUCUAGUUAUAGGAUAAUUAGCUCAGCUACAGUGGCAAUGAAUAAAAACAUUGCUUGUGGCGAUGGCACUGCAAUGUUACAAUCAAAUAAAUGGGAAAAAUGUAAUCUUCAUUGGAAUGCUUUUGAUGCUUAAAAUAGAAAAAAAGAGAUUGCUUAUUUUAAGUAAAGAUCAAAGACAGACCUCUAGAAUACCUCUUGAUAUCAGUUGACAUUCACAGAGAUGGGCAAAAUUUUAUGAAUCUUUUCUAACUUGAAAUCUGAUUUACACUUAAUGUCUCCUCAGAUAUAGAGUCAUGUUCCACAGAACAGAAUCCACACAGCCAUCACUCCCUCCCCAAACAGCACCCUUUGCUUCCUGAGAAGGGGCCCUUGGCAAUGCAGUGGGCUAUGGCAGUGGGAAAGAAUGGAAACACCUGCUCUACUAGUGGUGCUCCACACAGUUUCUGAGCUCUCUUCCCUCCUCCUGCAGCUGGAUACAGCCUGCAUCCCAGGGCAUAAUAUUGCCAGAGGUCCCUUAACCCUUUGGCAAGGGCUAUUUUGGAUGGCUGCAAAUGUUUUGCAUUCCACUGGCAUUGUUCUGAAUGUGAGCCAAUAUAUUUAACAUAAAAUUAUGUGAUUAUCCAUUGAAGAUAAUCAGUGGAGAUUCUCACCAUUAUGGAAUCCUUGCUGGUACUAGUCAAGUACUAGUCCCACUAGCAAGUGUAUGUGUGGGAACUGAGAAUUCUAACUCAUUGCUCUAGCACUGCAGUAACCUCUUCAGCCCAUUAGAGGCAUGAGGGGUUAUGUUAAUAGGUCUCUUUUGGUCAGUUAGGAGUCAGUUAGAAUUCAGUUGUUGAAGGCUAGUGUCUGUUUAAGUAUGUCAUUUAAUAGCUCUCUCGCAGUAUGUGAUGUUUUAGUUUCUUAAUACAUCUUUCUUUAUUUUUUUAACUCAACCUAUUGUCUCCAGAUUAUCUCUUGGGCUAAACUUCUUUCCCACCAGAGCAUACUCUGCUGUGUGAGGACUAAAUGUUUCUCUUCACACCGCUCAACAGGGUUAUGGGCCCAGAUCUCUGAGACAAGUAAAAAAGUAAUUAGCCUGAAUAAGAAAAUAAGUUUUUCUCAAAAAGGGAGACAAGGGCUGAAUUCAGAUGUAGCCCAAAACAGGGCAGAGGUUGGAACACCAUUACAUCUGAAUUCAUGAAACCACAGUUUCAAGCCGGAAGUAACCUGCCAUUUGCCUCAUCAAAUUCCAAUUGGAACCUCCCGUUUAAACAAAGGUUCACUGCUGAGACUUCUGGUUUGGCCACCAAAGCAUUAUGUCUGAUCCUGGAUUCUGCCAUAACCGUGAUUUUGUGUCGAUUUUCAAACUUCAAUCAUAGAGAUGGUGGCACAGACCUGCCCAGGAACACAGCUGUUCCAUGGCUGCAGCGCUGCUCACUGGCCACCUCUCUGAGCAGCAGCCCCGCCCCUCCUGUCACCUAUCCAGCUGUGGAAUUGUCUGGCAACAGGGAUGCUGCCAUGUCCCAUCCCAAGUGGCACAGUCAAGUGGCACAGUCACACAGGGGCAUGCCCUCUUUCCACUCUGUCUCUUGCUCUGUACCCACCUGGAAAGCAGGAAGGAAAGGGGACAGGAUGGGCAGUAAAUGUGUUGCUCCCCAAGAAUGAAGCAGCAAUUAUGUAUGUUCACAAACAAAAACACUCCAAAUGGCAACGUAAACAGGGCACCCCAUCCAACAUAAGAAGGGGGGGUAGUACCCAGUGUCGGGUUUAAAAGGCAGCCCCAACCAGGGACUUGAGCAGCCAAGUUCUAUUUUUUUUCCCACAGAAAGGUUGGGAAAGGCUGACUCUUUGCCCCCAGUCUGGCCAUGGAGUUUGCUGGGAUUGGCCUUGGGAGCUGAGUUGCAGGGUGGGGCUCCCCCCCCCUCGGAACUGGAAGUUGGAGGACCAUGCUUGGAAGAACAUCUGUGGUGCGAUUUAAAGUUUCAAAUUGAAACCAUGGGUUCGCCAACCUUCAGUUUCGUGUUACAUCUGAAUUUGGCCAAGGCAAGUGCUACAGAAGAUUGAAAAGUUACAAGGUCCAGAUUUUGUACUGUGGUAUUUCAAAAUGGAGAUGCUCCUAAAAAGCCACAGGGUCUUACACAGCACCAAAUCAAAAAGCCAAAUCAGCAGGGUCCUAUACACAGAGCACCCUGUUACAGAUGGAGAAGAAAUACAGGCCUGGGACAGUGCAGAUGAUAAAGACACCAGAAUAAUUUGUUUAUCUGUGAGUAAUUCUAUAUUGGUGCAUUUAAGAAACAAACAGCGUGCAAAGGACAUGUGAGAGACUCUGAAGAAAUUGUAUGAAAGAACAAUAGGUGGAUAGAUAGAUAGAUAGAUAGAUAGAUAGAUAGAUAGAUAGAUGAUUUGAUUUGUUGUUGAAAUGGAGAAUAUAGUGAUGAAAUUGUAAAGCGUUCGAACGAAGAAAUAGAAGUAAAGCAACUGGGGAACAUUUUCUAUUAUCUAGGAAUACAAAUAGAAAGAGAAUAAGAGGGAGGUUAUCUUUUUAAUCAGAAACAAAAGAUAAAAGAUAUUUUAGAAUGUCUAGGUCUUGUAGAUGCCAAGGAAGUGAGCAGUUCAAUGGAAGUUAACAUCUUGAAGCAAGAUACAAACAGCCAGCUUUUUUCAGACAAUGAGCAAUAUAGGAAAGCAAUUGGGAAACUUCUAUAUAUUGCUACAGUAACAAGACCAGAGCUGUGCAAGCAGCUGCAGCUAGCAGACUCGGGGAGGGGAGGGGGGAUCCCCAUAAUGCACUGCACAUUCAUGCAGCGCAUUAUUGGAGCUCCAGGGGCAGGACAACACGGGGCUACACAUCCCUGAAGCCCAACCUUCCGAGCUGCCAACAGCCACCGGUGCUCGUCCGGGUGGGCAGUCCGCCCACCCACCCAGGGACAGAGCAAUGAUCAUCUGCAAGGUAAGUUCUUUAGGGUUUCCUCCUCACAAAUCCUGUAGCUGCCUUUGAUGGGCACUUUCACCGUCAUGGGCACUUCUGCUAUCAGGAGUUUUUGACAGUGAAUGCAUUAGUGUGAUGAAACUCCACCUGACCCCAAUUAUAUUGGACAGAUCCAUACAUCACCAGCCUGGCAUGGAGUCCAACCUAAUCAUGCUGAUCUAAGAAAUAGGAAGUAUCAAGAAAUCAGCAAUUACACAGUUCAAGGUAAUGUGUAAACUGGGUCUAUAAUCAUCAGGGACCAUCUUGCUCGGAGAGGAAAGGAGACGAGAGGAGACGAGAUGAGACAAUCUGGGGAGAUGCCAUCAUCCAGUUCUGAUGUUCCAGCUGAGGUGACCUCUCCCUCCCCACCAACACAGAGCAACCUGGUACAAUCUUGCUCUGAGGAGAGGAAAGGAGAAAGAAGUGAGUCUAAACAGUUCACCAUGUAAAGAUUCAUGUAAAGACCAGAACCAUCCUCACAAAAAGAAGGGGGGAAAUAUGUGUUUUAUAAAGCCUUUCUGCAGACCCAUGCCUUGUAGGAAGAAAAACUUCAGGAGACUCGAGGAGAUUUCAGGGAAUAUUAUUUUAUAUCUGUGUGCACAUGUGAAUUAUGCUAUUUAAAAAAGGGAACACAUUUCAAUUUUCUUUAAUUAUUUGUUUUCCUAAAAGUUCUUUCUUUUUGCUUGCUUGCUUGCUUACUUACUUGCUCACUUGCUUUCCUUCCUUCCAUCCUUCCCUCUCUCUCUCUCUCUCUCUCUCUCUCUCUUUCUUUCUUACAUUUAUACCUGCUUUUCCAUAAAUUAAUGAUCAAAGUGAUGAACAAAAACAUAAAUAUACUGUAUUUACCUGAAUCCAAGACUAGAUUUCCCCUCAGGUUUUUUAAUAUUAGAAAUCAGAUGGUUAUCUUAAAUUUCAGAGUCCUGUUCCUUGGUAUAACCUGUAUUUAACUUCUACUUGUUAAGGGGGUCAUCUUAAAUUCAGAGCUGUCUUCAAUUUGGAUAAAGAUGGUAUACAAAAUUUUAAAACAAUUUAAAUAACCAUUUUUUAAAAUAUAUAUAAACACAACCAGCAUUAAACCCUGUAGUGGGACCCAGUUCAAGCACCAAAAUCUUGCCUGAACAGAACUUCUAUUUCCCCAGGCAAUUUCUAGAUGUUCAGUAACUGUCCACCUCCCACCUGAUCCCCUGACCAUGAUUAAUAGUGUGCACAGAUGCUUUGAUAAUCAAAUCAUACUUUAUUCUUGAAAAAUACUCUCAUGCUCCAUAUGCCUUGCCUUUGGGUUUUGUUUCUGGCCAACACCUAUCCCAGGAUUCUUAUUCUGUGCUGCCCAUUCAUGGGAGGAGAUAUCAUCCACCCCCAGUGGGUUUUCCCCCUCCUGUUUACAACUUUUGCUUUUGGAACUGCUCUGAAUGUUUGCAAGUUUAUUUUUUGUUAGGUUGCCAUUUUCUCAUUUCCCCCCAUACUUGUUUACAGCCAUCAUUUCUCAUUUGCUGCUGAUUCAGCACUACUUCUUUCUUUCUUUCUUUCAUUUAAGGCCUUCUUCUUACUGUGUGAUCCCAGCCAAUGAGGGAAAUUACAUGAUGAGCAAAUAAAAUGAUAUUGCACCACCCUAUAGCCAAUCGGAUUUGGCUAUGUGAAGACAUUAAUAAAGACAUUCCAUUACUUUCUUUCUGAAAGGUGGUGGGAGAGAGAGCACAUUCUGUGGCCCAUGCACCUGGGCAGAUAUUCCUUCUCUUGACAUGUUGUGCCUUUGUAGAGACCCAUGAAUAGUUAGGGCAGAAUGGGGCAGAAUGCCUAUUGGGAAAGUAUGAGCGUGUGGAUUGAUGGUAUCUGUGUUCAUAUAUAGAUGUGAUCCAUCUGUGUUACCUUAGAUUCAGUAGGAUGUCCAUUUGGAUUUGCACCUGAAUUCACAUCCCCAUCCUUAUUCUGCCCCCAAAUGAUUCAAAUAAGCACAACUGGAUUGGGAUGAGGGGGAUGGUUGGCCUGGCUGGUGAUGGGGACAUAUUCCCUCUUUCCCUGAUAUCCACCUUCUUGUGGAAAGGAAGCUGUGCACUCUUUUUCAAAGGGUGAUUUGGGGAAAAAUGAGGGAGUAUCUUUUGUGGAGUGUGCAAAAAUAUUAGGAACAUAGGAACAUAGGAAGCUGCUGUAUAAUGAGUCAGACCAUUGGUCUAUCUAGCUCAGUAUUGUCUACACAAACUGGCAGCAGCUUCUCCAAGGUUGCAGGCAAGAAUCUCUCUCAGCCCUAUCUUGGAGAUGCCAGGGCGGGAACUUGGAACAUUCUGAUGCUCUUCCCAGAGCAGCUCCAUCCCUUGAGGGGAAUAUCUUGCAGUGCUCACACUUCUAGUCUCCCAUUCAUAUGCAACCAGGGUGGAGCCUGCUUAGCUAAGGGGACAAGUCAUGCUUGCUACCACAACACCAGCUCUCCUCUCAUAAAUGCCCCUUCAUUUUGAGUUAGCACUUUCUUAUGAAUGGUGCUUUGUCCAUUGGCUCCUUCAAGUCUUCCCCAUGCCUUCCAAACAGACUGACAGUGCUAACCAGCUGUUGAGCAACUAUGUACAUACAGCUGCACACAGAGAGCCUACAGCCAUACACAUUGAUACACUACAGCCAUACACAUUGAUCUCGUGCUUGAAACCUUGUCUUGAGUCCAUAUAUGUAACAGUUGUCAUCUUGUGUAUAGUGUAUCAGCUAUUUUGUUUGUUUAUGCAGGUUAAAUGUGGAAGAAGUAAAUAGUAGCUCAAGGACGAAAAGAAGGCUGACUUCUUUCUACCCUGUCUCAUUAUACAUGAAAACGUCUGAUGAAAUUAAGGCAUUUGGAGUUGCAAUAAUAAAGCAAUUAAUUUCUGCAACUCUUUGAGGUUGGGUAUUACUGAAGCAAAUGGUUCUUGGCAUGAUUCAGACCAGGAGUGCUGACUUAAGGAAUAAUGGAGGGUUAGGGAGGAUACCAAUUAUGAGAACUAUCAAUAUUCAUGCUUGAGGGUGAAAGCAAGUAAUGGGUAAAGGGCAGGAAAAAAGGGCUUUCCAUGGGUCUAAUAUUACACAACUGUCUAGCCAUUGAGUGGAACUGCUACUUCUUCUGAAGCAUUUAAUUUAGCCUAUUGUCAGAAUACCCAACUAGCUAGAUAAUUGGCUGUUUUCAGUGUGACAGUAACUAUAUUCCUGUAGCAAAACUUCA